GGAGGGCAAGUCUGGUGCCAGCAGCCGCGGUAAUUCCAGCUCCAAUAGCGUAUAUUAAAGUUGUUGCAGUUAAAAAGCUCGUAGUUGAACCUUGGGCCUGGCUGGCCGGUCCGCCUCACCGCGUGCACUGGUUCGGCCGGGCCUUUCCCUCUGGGGAACCCUAUGGUCUUCACUGAUCGUAGCGGGGAACCAGGACUUUUACUGUGAAAAAAUUAGAGUGUUCAAAGCAGGCCUAUGCUCGAAUACAUUAGCAUGGAAUAAUAAAAUAGGACGUGUGGUUCUAUUUUGUUGGUUUCUAGGACCGCCGUAAUGAUUAAUAGGGACAGUCGGGGGCAUCAGUAUUCAAUUGUCAGAGGUGAAAUUCUUGGAUUUAUUGAAGACUAACUACUGCGAAAGCAUUUGCCAAGGAUGUUUUCAUUAAUCAGGAACGAAAGUUAGGGGAUCGAAGACGAUCAGAUACCGUCGUAGUCUUAACCAUAAACUAUGCCGACUAGGGAUCGGACGGUGUUAUUUUUGACCCGUUCGGCACCUUACGGGAAAC
rnacentral:rRNA from 1 species